GACGAACGCUGGCGGCGUGCCUAAUACAUGCAAGUCGAGCGAAGUUUUUCUGGUGCUUGCACUAGAAAAACUUAGCGGCGAACGGGUGAGUAACACGUAAAGAACCUGCCUCAUAGACUGGGACAACUAUUGGAAACGAUAGCUAAUACCGGAUAACAGUAUUUCUCGCAUGAGAGAUAUUUAAAAGUUGGUUAUGCUAACACUAUGAGAUGGCUUUGCGGUGCAUUAGCUAGUUGGUGGGGUAAAGGCCCACCAAGGCGACGAUGCAUAGCCGACCUGAGAGGGUGAUCGGCCACACUGGGACUGAGACACGGCCCAGACUCCUACGGGAGGCAGCAGUAGGGAAUCUUCCGCAAUGGGCGAAAGCCUGACGGAGCAACGCCGCGUGAGUGAAGAAGGAGUUCGGUUCGUAAAGCCCUGUUGUUAGGGAAGAAUGGAUAUGUAGUAACUAUACAUGUAAGAGACGGUACCUAACCAGAAAGCCACGGCUAACUACGUG
rnacentral:rRNA from 1 species